GAGUGGCGCAGCGGAAGCGCGCCGGGCUCAUAACCCGGAGGGCAAUGGAUCGUAAGUUGAACACACCUACUUUCACCA
rnacentral:tRNA from 1 species